rnacentral:rRNA from 1 species
UACGUAGGGCGCAAGCGUUGUCCGGAAUUAUUGGGCGUAAAGAGCUCGUAGGUGGCUUGUCACGUCGGGUGUGAAAGCUUGGGGCUUAACUCCAGGUCUGCAUUCGAUACGGGCUGGCUAGAGGUAGGUAGGGGAGAACGGAAUUCCUGGUGUAGCGGUGAAAUGCGCAGAUAUCAGGAAGAACACCAAUGGCGAAGGCAGCUCUCUGGGACGGUACUGACGCUGAGACGCGAAAGCGUGGGGAGCGAACAGG